rnacentral:tRNA from 1 species
GGAGAGGUGUCCGAGCGGUUUAAGGUGCUGCUCUCGAAAAGCAGUGUGGUUCAUAGCCACCGCGGGUUCGAAUCCCGCCCUCUCCG